AGGUCUUCUCACCCAGAUCCUGAGUUUCUUCUGCUCCUACAUCAGGGGCCCAUAGUGAGGCCCCCGAGACCCCUGGGGUCCCCACAACUCCUCCCCUCUCUGAGUUCCAUUCCCUGUAAUGAAUGACUAAAUCAAGUCAGCAAAUUGCACAGAGAGAAAGGGCCCUGUAAGACCUAAAGCCUCACCCAGGACUGCCAGGGCUGGGGCCAGGGCCCUCUGGAUCCUUGCUGACCAUCUGCUCUGGGACAAAUGGUGUGGGAGGCUGAACAAUGGUACCUCAAAGAUGCUCCUGUCCUGAUCCCAGAUCCUACGGAUAUGUUUACCUUGCACAGUGAAAAGGAUUUUGCAGAUGUGAUUAAGUUAAGGAUCUCAAGAUGGGAAGAUUGUCCUGGAUUAUCAGAGUGGGUCCCUUGUAAUCACAAGGGGUCUUACGAGAGGAAGGCAGGAGGGUCAGAGGUCAGAGGAAGAGUGUGACAGUGAAACUAGAGGUCAGAGGGACUGCAGCCACAAGCCGAGGAAUGUGAGCAGACUCUGAAAGCCAGAAAAGGCAAGGAAAUUGAUUUUUCUCUAGAGCCUCCAGAAAGAACACAUCUGUACCAACACCUUGAUCUUAGCCCAGGAGACUGCUUUUGGACUUCUGAUCUCCAGAACCAGAAGACAAUAAAUCGGAAUUGUUUUAAGCCUUUGUGUUUGCGGAGACUUGUUAUAGCUGCCCUGUUGUUCCUAUGUUUAGUCUCUCAGUUGUAUUUAGCUCUUUGCGACCCUGUAGACUGUAGCCCACCAGGCUCCUUUGUUCAUGGGGAUUCUCCAGGCAAGAAUACCGGAGGGGGUCGCCAUCCCUC
ensembl:lncRNA